rnacentral:rRNA from 1 species
CAAUAGCGUAUAUUAAAGUUGUUGCAGUUAAAAAGCUCGUAGUUGGAUUUCUGGUAGGAGUGAUCGUUCCGAACUUGAUUGUUCGUGUAUUGUGUUUUCUCCAGCCAUCCUUGUGGAGAACUUUUCUUGCAUUAAUUUGUAGGGAUUGGGACCCGCAUCGUUUACUGUGAAAAAAUUAGAGUGUUUAAAGCAGGCAAUCGCUUGAAUACAUUAGCAUGGAAUAAUAAGAUAGGACUUUGGUACUAUUUUGUUGGUUUGCAUACCAAAUUAAUGAUCAACAGGAACAGUUUGAGGAUAUUCGUAUGAACAUGUCAGAGGUGAAAUUCUUGGAUUUUGAUCAGACGAACUACUGCGAAAGCAUUUAUCAAGGAUGUUUUCAUUAA